rnacentral:rRNA from 1 species
GACGAACGCUGGCGGCGUGCCUAAUACAUGCAAGUCGAGCGCUGAAGGCUGGCCUUUGUUCUCACUGGUUGUGGCGAACAGGUGUGUAUCACGUGUGUAACCUGCCCUUUAGAGUGGGGUAACUUCUUUGGACUCGAACUAUUACCCCGUAUAAGAACUUGAUACAUAAGUUUUAAUUUUAAAAGACGCAAUUGCCUCAUUCAAAGAUGACUUCGCGUUGUUUUAGCUAGGUGGUGAGGUAACGGCGCUCCAAGGGGAGGGCACAUAGCCGACGUGAGAGGGUGAUCGGCCACAAUGGGACGGAGACACGGCCCAAACGCCUACGGGAGGCAGCAGUAGGGAAUCGGCGGCAAUGGGCGGAAGACUGACCGAGCAACGCCGCGGGAGUGAAGAAGGGUGUCGGAUCGUAAAACUCUGUUGGUAGGGAAGAACGUGGGUGAGAGUGGAAAGCUCAUCGAGUGACGGUAACUACCCAGAAAGGGACGGCUAACUACGUG